rnacentral:rRNA from 1 species
GACGAACGCUGGCGGCGUGCUUAACACAUGCAAGUCGAACGGAAAGGCCCUGCUUUUGUGGGGUGCUCGAGUGGCGAACGGGUGAGUAACACGUGAGUAACCUGCCCUUGACUUUGGGAUAACUUCAGGAAACUUGGGCUAAUACCGGAUAGGAGCUCCUGCUGCAUGGUGGGGGUUGGAAAGUUUCGGCGGUUGGGGAUGGAUUCGCGGCUUAUCAGCUUGGUGGUGGGGUAGUGGCAUACCAAGGCUUUGACGGGUAGCCGGCCUGGGAGGGUGACCGGCCACCUUGGGACUGAGAUACGGCCCAGAGUCCAACGGGGGACAGCAGUGGGGAAUAUUGCCCAGUGGGCGGAAGCCUGAUGCAGCAACGCCGCGUGCGGGAUGACGGCCUUCGGGUUGUAAACCGCUUUCGCCUGUGACGAAGCGUGAGUGACGGUAAUGGGUAAAGAAGCACCGGCUAACUACGUG